rnacentral:rRNA from 1 species
UACGUAGGGGGCGAGCGUUGUCCGGAUUUACUGGGCGUAAAGAGCGCGUAGGCGGUUUUGAGAGUCGGCUGUGAAAUCUCCAGGCCCAACCUGGAGGGGUCGGCCGAGACCUUGAGACUUGAGGGUGGUAGAGGAAGGUGGAAUUCCGGGUGUAGUGGUGAAAUGCGUAGAUAUCCGGAGGAACACCAGUGGCGAAGGCGGCCUUCUGGGCCAAACCUGACGCUGAGGCGCGAAAGCGUGGGGAGCGAACCGA